rnacentral:rRNA from 1 species
UACGGGGGGGGCAAGCGUUGUUCGGAAUUACUGGGCGUAAAGGGCGCGUAGGCGGUCACGCACGUCCGUUGUGAAAUCGCUCGGCUCAACUGGGCGGGGUCAGCGGAUACGGCGUGGCUGGAGCAAGCUAGGGGGCAAUGGAAUUCCCGGUGUAGUGGUGGAAUGCGUAGAUAUCGGGAGGAACACCAGUGGCGAAGGCGGUUGCCUGGAGCUUUGCUGACGCUGAUGCGCGAAAGCGUGGGGAGCGAUCCGG